UACAGAGGGGGCAAGCGUUGUUCGGAAUUACUGGGCGUAAAGGGCGCGUAGGCGCCUGUUAAGUCGAACGUGAAAUCCCCGGGCUCAACCCGGGAACUGCGUCCGAUACUGGCAGGCUUGAAUCCGGGAGAGGGAUGCGGAAUUCCAGGUGUAGCGGUGAAAUGCGUAGAUAUCUGGAGGAACACCGGUGGCGAAGGCGGCAUCCUGGACCGGCAUUGACGCGUGAGGCGCGAAAGCCAGGGGAGCAAAACGGGGAUUAGAUACCCCGA
rnacentral:rRNA from 1 species